ensembl:snoRNA SNORA73 Small nucleolar RNA SNORA73 family
UCAGCUUGAGUCACUCUCCCCAGGUUUUGUUCAGGUGGCUUAGGCUAUGUCCCAUGAUGUACAGUCCCUUUACACAAUGUUGGAGAUAAAACUUGGCCUCAUAUCUGUGCUUUAUAUUCCCACAGCCUCUCAGAGUCCUGUGGACAAUGACAGACCAUGCAAGGAACAUAU